rnacentral:rRNA from 1 species
UUGACCUCGAUCUAGGUUAGGGAUACCCGCUGAACUUAA